GAUGAAGAACUUAGCGAAAUGCGAUAAGUAAUGUGAAUUGCAGAAUUCAGUGAAUCAUCGAAUCUUUGAACGCACAUUGCGCCCGCCAGUAUUCUGGCGGGCAUGCCUGUUCGAGCGUCAUUUCAACCAUCAAGCCCCAGGCUUGUGUUGGAGCCCUGCGGCUGCCGCAGCCUCCCAAAACCAGUGGCGGGCUCGCUAUCACACCGAGUGCAGUAGUUUACUCUUCGCUCAGGGCGUGUGGCGGGUGCUAGCCGUAAAACCCCCAAAUUCUCAAGGUUGACCUCGGAUCAGGUAGGAAUACCCGCUGAACUUAAGCAUAUCAAUAAGCGGAGGA
rnacentral:misc_RNA from 1 species